UUUGGCAGAACAGUAAAAUGUUCACAAAUUUUCAAUGCUGUAGUUACAAAAUGUAACAGCACAACUAUAUUUCGAUUUAUAUAAAGUUUACUAGCGGGCUAACUCCGGCCUUGCCCAUAGUACGGUAUGCAGCUUUCGAAAAGUGUGAAACACAACACUAAGAUAUUUUGAAAAUCAGAUGGGGCCGAUUGGAUUGUACACAAAAAAGUUUCAUACAAACGUUUUUCGUGAUUUUUUCACAUAUGCGGGUGGAAUUUCCCGAAACCCCGCCUUAACGAGCACCUUCAGCACAAAAGACAUUUAGCAUAAAUCAGCUCUGACUCUGCCAGUCAGUUGCUCCUUGGUUUACUUUCGUAUAUACUUGAAAGACAUAAAUAAAGUUAGGGAAUUGCGUUUGUUGCCGGCAAUCAUUUGAAAGCUAAGCAUUAAAGCUUACCUGAUUCAAAAGACAGACAGGACAACUGCAUAUUUAAAUAUUUAAUAACUUGAGCAAUGCGAAUUCUUUUUAAUUAUUCUGACCUUUUUGACAAGCAUUUGGCAUAGAAAA